CAGUAGCCGCGGUAAUACGAAGGGGGCUAGCGUUGUUCGGAUUUACUGGGCGUAAAGCGCACGUAGGCGGAUCGAUCAGUCAGGGGUGAAAUCCCAGAGCUCAACUCUGGAACUGCCUUUGAUACUGUCGAUCUGGAGUAUGGAAGAGGUGAGUGGAAUUCCGAGUGUAGAGGUGAAAUUCGUAGAUAUUCGGAGGAGCACCAGUGGCGAAGGCGGCUCACUGGUCCAUUACUGACGCUGAGGUGCGAAAGCGUGGGGAGCAAACAGGAUUAGAUACCCCCGUAGUCCCUGUCUCUUAUAC
rnacentral:rRNA from 1 species